rnacentral:misc_RNA from 1 species
CCUUUUCAGUUGUGCGGCAAGGUUCUUCCUUGCGCAUCCGACGGGUUUCCUGUGUUGUAUACCUAUUUGACGGAAUUACAUCGUGAUAUCAAUGUCCCUUUUCAUCAUGCGUCGUGCACACGACGUGGGGUGAACCUCGAAGCGGUCUCUGUGCUCCGUCUUACCAACGCUGUAGCGUUGGCGAAAUGGCUCAUCGAGCAUCGCUUGGUCUCUCGGAUGCGGAACCUUAAUCGGGUACGGGGCUCUUGCGGCCUUGUGUUACCCUUAUCGAGCGUUCUCGCUUCUCCAAAACGACCGUCGUUCGCACGUCGACUCGUUCGUGUGCGAUCGACGACGUCGAAGAGGAAUGCUACCUGGUUGAUCCUGCCAGUAGUCAUAUGCUUGUCU